AGGCUUGUAAUUAUUGCACCUGGCCAGGGUCAUCCUGAACACAGUCGUCACACCUAACCAUCUCUAGGCAAGGAGAUGGGAAGGGCUUUGGUGGGGCUGCCACAAGGACGAUGAGCUACAAGCGACAGCAAUGGGCUUCUGUGCAGACGGCCCUACAGAAACCAAGGCUUUCCAGGAAAGAUGGCGAGGGCACGAGGACGGCUCAGGAGGAGCAGGAGGGUGCCAGCAGAGGAACCCAAGGACAGGAGGUCACAGAAGGCCUUGGCAGCCUGGGACGGGGGUGCCGUCCUCUUUGUAAGCUGCACAGCUGCCUCGACCCCUGAGCAGGCACACAGCAGGUGCGGGUAGGGGUCCUUCCUCCUGGCACAGACAGCCCCACAGCCCAUGGGGCAGCAGAGCCUCCACCCCGGACACUCCUGCUCCUGGAUGCAGAGCGAGAGGUGGCUGCAGCCUUGCGGGAUGUCACGCGGAGGCUGACGGGAGCACGGUUCACUGAGAUAGAGAAGGCAGCAGGCCUCAGCCAUGGAAGCCGGUGCCCGAUUGGUGCCCAGCUGUGAUUAGAGAGUCCUAUUUCAAUGUGGGCCCCUUAGGCCCAUGUCCAGAGGCCUCUGACUCAUGGAGAACCGUGCUCGGCACACCGUUUCUGGACCCUCUUGAAGGAUUGUCUGCUAGUCCUGGGGCCUGGGUACCAUGUUCUGCAUGGACAGCCAGGCCUGGGAUGGAGCCUGGACCAGUCCCCGGAGCAGCUGAGCAUCUACCCAUCGGUUCAAAUAGAAGGACCCUGGAUGUCUGCCUUGGAUGGCCGGCCCAGCCCCUUGUGGGCUGAUGGGA
rnacentral:lncRNA from 1 species